AUGGGCUGUCCCACUGAGCAAGAUCAGAAUCAGGGAGCCAAGGUGGUGCAAAGGGGGUUCAUCUACAGAGAGCACCGGGAAAGAGUGGGGGGAAGAACGGGAGGUUUGCACACGGAGUAUGCACAGGGUGAAGCUCAGACUUCCCAUGAAGAUAUCCCUCACGCAGUAAUGACCAGCAACUUGUUUCAAACUUGGAUUUCUUCAGCUCCUUCUGUACAUUACGUCUGCAGGAUUUCUCCAGAAGCACAGACAAUUUUUAGUCUUCCACCGUGUGUGUGCUGAGAAGCACGAGUGGAAGGCGGGCGCUGGAUUUUGUGCAGUGCACCUUCAUGAGGCCCUCUAUCCGUUUGGUAGUGCUACUCCUUUCACGUGGUGCAUGGCCGCCCCAUGACCCUGUGGAACUCACUGCUGCAGGACGGCGUGGGGAGCAUGUACCCACAUGGCUCCAACAAGGCUCUAAGAAGAUUUCUGCAGAAGGCUCUCACUGCUAAACACAGUGGUCCACCCAAAACUCCAUCUUUGGACAUGUCUGCCACGUUAGCUGGCAGAAGCUAGGGGCCCAUACUGGGGAAAGAUCUUUCUGCUAAGGUCCAAUUUUUAUGCUGUACCCCUGAACUCACACUUGUAGUUGCUGUCAAAGUUAGGAGAAUGAACAAGGUGGACUUUUGAUCUGACCCAAUGUAGCACUUGGUUUAAAUUUACAUUGGCUAAGCGUCAAGCCUGGUUUCUGACAUAGCAUGUUGUGCAAUCCAUGUGCUCAUUCCUUAUGUUGUCCCCACCAUCCCGCAGAGGUUAGUGAGUUUGCAUCCCUGGGAAAGAGAGAGUGCUUCUGCCUACAGUCACGUUUGCCCUGUCAGGCCUUGCCCAAGCCUGCUCCAGAGCUCUUGCUCACAGAACAUCUUACACGUAUUUCCAAGAAAGUGCUUGAAUUCCACUGACCUUAACAGAUAUCGUGGAGUGAGGUUUUACCAGCUCUACCCAAGCAGCGUGAUGGCUCUCUCCUCAUUUUCUCAUUUAUCUUCUGUUUUUUCUCUUUUAUUUACAAUCAGAUGGGCACCAGGCUCUAACACAACUACUUUGGGCUCUCCCAUCCUACCAAGAAAAUACCCAGUGGCUCGGUCCUGGUGCAGAUAAGAGGAGCUGCUAGCCAUAGCUUAGAAGGAGCUUUUCUCUGCCACAGGCUGGCCUAGGAGAUAAGAGUCAGUAGGCUCAUGAAAAGCUGCCCUAAAAAUAUGGGAGAUGUCCAGCUCUUCUAGUCCUCCUUCAUCAGGCUCUGAAGUCA
rnacentral:lncRNA from 1 species